rnacentral:rRNA from 1 species
GAUGUCGGCUCAUCGCAUCCUGGGGCUGGAGCAGGUCCCAAGGGUUUGGCUGUUCGCCAAUUAAAGCGGUACGUGAGCUGGGUUCAGAACGUCGCGAGACAGUUCGGUCCCUAUCUGUUAUGGGCGUUGGAUAUUUGAGAGGAUCUGCAUUUAGUACGAGAGGACCGAUGUGGACAAACCUCUGGUUUAUCUGUUGUUCUGCCAAGAGCAAGUGCAGAGUAGCUAAGUUUGGAAGGGAUAACCGCUGAAAGCAUCUAAGCGGGAAGCCCACCUCAAGAUUAGAUAUCCCUGGGAGUUUAACUCCCCUGAAGACUCCUGAGAGACUAUCAGGUUGAUAGGCUGCAGAUGUAAGCAUGGUGACGUGUUCAGUCGAGCAGUACUAAUAAGUCGUGAGGCUUGACCAU